UACGUAGGUGGCAAGCGUUGUCCGGAUUUAUUGGGUUUAAAGGGCGCGUAGGCGGCUUAUUAAGUCAGUGGUGAAAUACUCUAGCUCAACUAGAGGGGUGCCAUUGAUACUGAUGAGCUUGAGUACAGAUGAGGUAGGCGGAAUUGACGGUGUAGCGGUGAAAUGCUUAGAUAUCGUCAAGAACACCUAUAGCGAAGGCAGCUUACUAGGCUGUAACUGACGCUGAGGCACGAAAGUGUGGGGAUCAAACAGG
rnacentral:rRNA from 1 species